CUGGGAAUCUUGGGAAUGGGCGAAAGCCUGACCCAGCAACGCCGCGUGGGCGAUGAAGGCCUUCGGGUCGUAAAGCCCUUUUGCAGGGGAAGAUUAUGACGGUACCCUGCGAAUAAGCCACGGCUAACUACGUGCCAGCAGCCGCGGUAAUACGUAGGUGGCAAGCGUUGUCCGGAUUUACUGGGCGUAAAGGGCGUGCAGGCGGUUCGUUAAGUGCAGGGUGAAAGCUCCCGGCUCAACUGGGAGAGGUUUCUGCAUACUGGCGGACUCGAGGGAGGCAGAGGAAAGUGGAAUUCCCGGUGUAGUGGUGAUAUGCGUAGAUAUCGGGAGGAACACCUGUGGCGAAGGCGGCUUUCUGGGCCUUACCUGACGCUGAGACGCGAAAGCGUGGGGAGCGAACCGG
rnacentral:rRNA from 1 species